rnacentral:tRNA from 1 species
GUUUGGGUAGCGCGUAGCGCGUCUGCCUUGUAAGCGCUAGGUCGCGGGUUCGAUUCCUGCCCGGAGCG